ensembl:lncRNA
GUGAAUGGAAACGGGUGUGGUGAAUUAAACAGGGGACUGUGAAGGAGACGCUAGUCAUGUGAUGAAUCAGAUAAUAAGGUUUGUAGUUUGUUAGUUGGUUAGGAUCUUGAGAAAUGAAGCUUGUGUAAUUAUUGAUUUCCAUUUAUGAUAUGAUUUCCUGAUGAUCAUGGGAAAUUGUGUUCAUGGCUUCAACUCAAUAUGGUAGAGGUAUGACAAGCUUCCUGUAGCUAAAAAGUGAAAUUGAAACGAAAUGACGAAGUGAAGAAAGAUAAAAAAAAUUGGAAAAAAGUAGAGGAGGAGACAGACAAAUGAGAGGAGUGAGACAGACCAAGAGAGAAGUGUAAAACACAGGUUAGAAGAGUUGCACGCUGGGACAGCCCAACGAGAAAAGAAAUGUAAGUAUAAAUCAUUUUUGUAAUGGUUAAAACAUGUUCAGCUUUCCUUUUACGAUUGUACGCUGGUUCUGGUUGACGGGGUACACUGGCACGUUUUGCUUCAAACUCCUGUAACCAUUUUAUUUGUUUUUUGUUAGUUUAUUUAACUGCCCCUAUGGUUUUUAUGUGGUGGUGCCAUUUUAUAUAUUUUGGACUGUUGUUUUUAUUUCUGUGUUCAACCUGGAGUAACCUGCAGUGCAUGUUUGUGGAUUGGACAAUUUUGUGCACCGUGUGUUUUGGAGAAUCAAUGCCGUCACGAAAUGGAAGCUGAGACUGAAGCAAGUGCAGGUUUUGCAGUGUAAUAACAACAAAGUCCAAGGAUAAAUCAGAAAUCCGUAGUCAAAAGACAGGCAGAGGUCAGGCAAACAGGCAAAACUAGGCAAGGCAGAGAAUCAAAGUCAAUAGAGUAAAUAAAGGUCAAAUAACAGAAUGGCAAACAUGAAUAAAAGGCUUGGACAACGACAGAGACUACGCAGCUGAGCAUAUAUUUCACAAAGUCUAAAUGCUCACAAAGUCUCUUAUAUGCGGUGUUUGUGAUUGUGUGUGAGAUCGGGUGCAGGUGUGUGUAAUUGGAGUUCCAGAGAAGGUGAAUGUGUGUGGGGGAAGUGUAGUCCAUGGCGGCCUUGUUUGUAGGCCGCAGUGCAGGAUGAGAGACUGAUGUAGUCACUGGUUUGCUGUGACAUGACAAAAUCCCCUCCCCAAAAUACACUCCCAAAAUACACUCCCUUUCCUGGUGGUCCAGGACCUCUGGGCAAAAUGUCUUCACAUGAACCGGGAGACUGAGCAGCAUCCACAGCUGAGCAAGAAGGCGGAGCACGAAGGCGGAGCGUCGUCCUCCAUCGAUUCUGCAGGCUGAACUUGGUUGGCUGUGUUAACAGACUCAAGCCUGAGCAGAACAUGGUUGGCCAGGUCAUCAGACUCGGGCAUAAGCAGAACAGGGUUGUCCUCUGCUGCCCGAUGGAGGCUGCUUCGCUUUCUGUCGCAGCGAAAGACAGUUCGCACAGGGGCCCAGGACCCCCGUUGGAGGGGGGUUCUUGGUGCUCCGGGAGGAGCACCCUUUGGAGGGGGGUUCUGUUACGCCACGGCCAGCAGAGGGCACUACGGUACGGCCGCUGACUGGUCACGUGACUCUUUUGUUUUCGUUCACUUCCCGCUUGGACACUGACUUAAGUCUCUGAUUUGCCCCAGGUGUUAAUGUCUUAGUUUAAUUAGGUUCGUUAUUUAAACCCCCCCGUGUGACUGCGCACAUCGCGCAGUAUUAAAGUUGGUUUAGUUCGUCAAGUGAGGGAAGUAUAUGGGUAUGUGCUAAUGUGUAGCAUGCUAGCGGUCGUAGCUAGGGGACCAGAGUGAGUAUAGUCCGUAGAGACCGCGCUCCCUGUGUUUGUUUAUCUGUUUGUUUGUUUCUUGUUUAAAUAAUAAAGACGGUGACCUGCACCUGCAUCCGCCUCCAGUCUCGUUCCGUAACACCCACAUCUUCAUCACAGAGUUUACACUUCUCUACUGUUUCUCACAAACACACAGUGUUUAUUCUAUUAUUAACGUGAGAGAGAAUAGAGAGGGAGAGAGAGAGAGAAUAAAGAGAGAGAAUAUUUGAGUAUAAUUGUGUGCUAUUAUAGGUCCAUCACGUAUUAAUCCAUACAUAUAAUAUUUACUAAACAAACUAGUCUGCAUUAUUUAUUUAAAACACAACAUUUAUCAAAUGCAUUGCUUGUUUAUACAAAUAAAAUGAAAGAACCUCUCUCCAUACCCAACUAUUUGGACUGAAAAUGUUCACACCUGUAGCUCGGCACUGGUGGGGCUAGUGAACCAAAACAUUCCCCAGUUGGUGUCUAAAACAAACUGAACUAAAACAAAGAGGUUUGUUUUUUUUCUUCACCAUGCGCUCGAUAUCACCUUCAUACACAGAUGUGCCUGUGACUUUCAGAUAUCAAGACAGAGCAAAACCACAUCCUGUUGAAUCUAGGACACGGUAGAAUGCCUUAGCAAGGUUUUCUUUUUUCCAUCCAAUUCACCAUUCUUUGUCUGUACCACUAGCCUGUAAGCUAUUUUUAUCAUGUCAGUAACAUAGGCCUAUAUCUAUAUAUAUCGCGAUAUAAAUUUUUUCAAUAACAGUGAUAUGAUUUUUAAACACAUUUCCGAUAUUUCGAUAUACAUUAAAACAUUUGUCACUGACUGACGUUCACGGCGCAGGAGUCAGUUUGUUGUAUUGAAGCCAAGGAGAAAGAGCAGAACACGAUUGGCUACAUGCGUGAUGACGUAAACCACAGGCAUGCAGCCAGUGCUCGGCAGUGUUGAAUUAAGCUCCAACACGGCAAGUUUUAGCUAUAAAAUGAGUACCCCUGACCACAAUACAAAUGCGACUGAGCGAGCUUCCACAAGUGAAGAGAAAGCAGACGAAAUAGUCGAUAAGAGAGGAAAGACUAAUUCAGUGGUAUGGAAGUGGUUUGGCUAUCUACGCUCUGAUAAACUUCAGGUUUCAGUGCGCUGCAAAAUGUGUCGGAGAGUGGUGCCAACUAGCAGCAGGAACACAUCAAAUCUGUUCCACCAUCUGAAGCAGUUCCACCCGAUAGAAUAUCCUGAGAGUCAGAAGAUGAGGUAUCAUAAAGGUUUAAGCCAACCCGUCUCUGAAAUAUCACCGCGACCCACAUCCCCAUCACCAGCUGUGUCAAAAGAGAAACCGAUGCAGCAAACGCGGAUCGCUGCAUUCAUGCCUCAUGACAAGCAGUCUAAAUGUUAUAAAGACAUUACUAAGGCUGUCACAAACUUUUUGGCUAAGGACAUGAUGCCGUUUAGUACGGUAGAAAAUGUAGGCUUCAGGAAAAUGAUGUCCGUCAUCGACCCCAGAUACGAGCUCCCUGGCCGGAGUUGAACAGAUGGAGAAGGCUACAAUGCUUUGGGCACCGACUGAACUCCGCUAUUGAGAUAGUUCACCAAGACAAGCGAGUGGACAGAAACUCUAGAGCUUGUCAUAGGGUGUCAUCAACCCCCAACAAUGUCCCGGCCCCAGCAACGUGCAGUUGUUAUUGCUCACACUUUCUGUUUUCUUCAGCAACUCUGAGCAUUUUUCAUAUAUUUUUUUUUAUCCUGGCUGAAGCACUUUAAUUUCAGUCUAUAAGAAUAAAAUAAUCAGCCUAUGUUGUAGUUUAAAGUGAAAGAUAUUAAUAUUGACAAAGGUGAGAGGUUUAUGUUUAUUUGACGGUGAUUUCACAUUUCUUGUUUGUAUGAAAGUUAAAUUCAAAUAAAAGGUGAACGUUCAUUUAUUUAUGCCAUUUUCAUUUCUAAAUUAUUAUAUAGUUUUAUAGAAGGAGAAGUUUACAGAAGUUUGAAGGUACAGACAUCUGUUGUGGGCGUCCUUGGCAGUUUUUCUGAGGAUUUAUAUUGUUCAUAUCGAUAUUGGAAUUAUAUCGUAUCGACUGAAAUUAAGAAAUAUAUCGUGAUAUACAUUUUGGCCAUAUCGCCCAGCCCUACAGUAACAUCAGUUUGGUUGAAGUAGAGGAAGCCUUUAUUUGUCACAUGUACUUUACAGCACAGUGAAAUUCUGUUCUUCGCAUAUCCCAGCCUGGUAGGAAGUGCAGAUAAUGGUGCUUUUAUCACAAACCGAUCAUCUUUUACAGCCUACAGCUAUUAGAUUCAUCUAACACCACAUUCCCAACUGUAGUGGUCUGUCAUGCACACAGGACAGUGAACACUAUGUUUAAUCCCUUUAUCACUAAUUGCAUUAGAGUGUAAAUAUAACUUAUAUUAAUAUGAAUUAUAUCACUCAUAGAUGCAAAGAUUAUAU